UGUCUUCUACCAUAUUCCUACAGCUACGGUUCCUCAGGCUACCACACAUUUUCUGUUGGUCCAGUAUGAUGUUAUGAGAUGUUAUUAAAUGUAUAUGGAGACAGCAGGUUGAGGUAAACCCACUAUGAUGGUAUAUGGAGACAGCAGGUUGAGGUAAACCCACUAUGAUGGUAUAUGGAGACAGCAGGUUGAGGUAAACCCACUAUGAUGGUAUAUGGAGACAGCAGGUUGAGGUAAACCCACUAUGAUGGUAUAUGGAGACAGCAGGUUGAGGUA